GAUUAAAGGGCCGCAGUAGCCUGACUGUGCUAAGGUAGCAUAAUCAUUAGGUUUUUAAUUGGGAUCUAGUAUGAAUGAGUGAAUGGAGAAGAGCUGUCUUAGAGGUUAGAUUUGAAUUUAAAAUUUUAGUAAUAAUGCUAGAAUAAUUCUGUGGGACGAUAAGACCCUAUAAAGCUUUAUUUGUAUAUUUUUUGGUACUUUGACUAAUUUGAGAUUGACACAAAUUUAACUGGGGCGGUUGAUGAAAUUACAUGUUAUUAGAGUAAGAAAAAUAGGGAUCCAUCUAUGGUGAUAAUUAGAUUAAGUUACUUUAGGGAUAACAGCAUAAUAUAUCUAUGGAGUUCUAAUCGAAGGAUAUGAUUGUGACCUCGAUGUUGAAUUAAUUUUAUUGUACGGUGAAGAAGUUGUAUGAGUUAGUCUGUUCGACUAUUAAAUAAUUACGUGAUUUGAGUUCAAACCGGUUUGAG
rnacentral:rRNA from 1 species